rnacentral:lncRNA from 1 species
CGGGGCCUUCCUCUCCCACCUGUUUAGUCUUCAUGGAAAUGCUGAUUUUUAUCCUUUCCUGUCUGGCAGCCACAGUGGCAAUGAGCUCCUGCUCUGGCCCUCCCUUCCUCUCUCUCUGUUUCUCCCUGACUCUCUCACGCUCUCUCUCCAACCCACCAACAGUUUCAUUCUCCUUCCUCUCUUCUUUGAACCUCUGCCUCUGUCUCCCUCUCACUGCCAUGACUGUUAUUUGUGGGGCUAUUUCUCUGUCUCUCCUCACUUAUUUUAUUCCUCUCUCCAUCUUUCCCCAAAUUGCCCUUCUUCUAACUCCUUUCUUUUUCUUUCCUCCCCUCCUUCUCUGACUCCAUUUGGCAUUCUUCACAUUCAUUCUUCCCUUCUCUCUGUCUCUCUGUCUGUUUCUCUCUGUCUCUGUCUCUAUCUCUCUCUCCCUCUCUGUGUCUGUUUGUCUCUCUCCUCCCUUCCUUUCUCUCUUCUUUCUCUCUUUUCUUUUCUCCACCCCUCCUUACUCCUCUCUUCCUUUUUUCUUUUUCUUAUCUUCUACUAUCUUUUUCCUUCUUUUCUUUUCUGCUCCUUAUCCUCCCCUCCUUCUCUGUCUGUCUCUCUCUGCCUUUCUCUCUGUCUAUCUCUGUCUCUGUCUCUGCCUCCCUCUACCUCUCUCUGUCUUUCUCUCACUGCCUCUCUGUUUCUCUUUGUCUUUUUUUGCCUCUCUGCCUCUCUCUUUGCCUGUCUUUCUGUCUUUCUCUCAAUACCUUUCUAUCUCUCUGCUUGUCUAUCUCUGUUUCUGUUUCUGUCUCUCUGUUUCUCUCCCUCCCUCUGCCUCUGUCUCUGUCUCUCUCUCUGUCACACACACACACACACACACACACACACACACACACACACACACACACACACACACACACACCCCUCCCUCCCUACCACAUAGGCAGCACUCCAGACUUACUAGAUUAAUUGCUACUCUCUCAACAUGCCCUGAGAUUUCCUGCCUUUAUGCCUUUGCUCACUGUAAUUGCCUCCACCUAGAAUAUUUUCUCCCACCUCUGCUUGUUGAAUUCAUUCAUCCCCAGCCUUUAAAGCAG